AACGAACGCUGGCGGCAUGCCUAACACAUGCCAGUCGAACGAGACCUUCGGGGCUAGUGGCGCACGGGUGCGUAACGCGUGGGAACCUGCCUUUAGGUUCGGAAGAACUCAGGGAAAUUUGAGCUAAUACCGGAUGAUGUCUUCGGACCAAAGAUUUAUCGCCUUUGGAUGGGCCCGCGUUGGAUUAGCUAGUUGGUGGGGUAAAGGCCUACCAAGGCGACGAUCCAUAGCUGGUCUGAGAGGAUGAUCAGCCACACUGGGACUGAGACACGGCCCAGAAUCCUACGGGAGGCAGCAGUGGGGAAUAUUGGACAAUGGGCGAAAGCCUGAUCCAGCAAGGCCGGGUGAGUGAUGAAGGCCUUAGGGUUGUAAAGCUCUUUUACCCGAGAUGAUAAUGACAGUAUCGGGAGAAUAAGCUCCGGCUAACUCCGUG
rnacentral:rRNA from 1 species